GCGAUGGGGAGAAGGCAAGUUGUUAAACGUGUGAGGUUGGUGUCUGUCAAGAGGAUGUUGCGCUGGGAAAUGGGUCCAUGGAACAGUCCUGACAGGACCUGUGAUACCAGAACUCCCCAAAGACACCUUGAAAGUCUGGAUACAGCUGUUUGUUGAACUAUGGCCACAGCAUCAAUGAGGUUUAUUUUUAAGAGUGAAAUGGAAAGUUGGAAACACUGGGUCGAAACCUUUCCCAGGAACAGUGGUCACUUCCUGAAGACAUGGGAGGAGGAAUCAAGUUAAGUGCUUCUCUGUAAUUACUAAUCUUUCAAAGUUGCAUAGUCUUUUAACUACUGCAUAGAAAAUGGGUAUACACCAAUCAGUGACUUACGAUCAUGAAUCUCUGUCAACAGUUAUCAGAACCACCCAAACCACAUAUAAAGCCUGAUUACUGCUGUGAGCAGAAGUCCACACUUUUACUUCUGUGGGGGUACAUCAAAGAGCAUGAUCAAACCUAAGAACUGAGAAAGACGAACAGCAAUUAAUGCUGCAUCUUUAUUACAGUGGACCCGGUAUGAUCUUGAUUUUACAUCCGAACUAGGCUUCUGCUGUACAUGCAUUACUCUUCUGGAAAAAGAAGUCAGCUCCUUCCUAUUUCUCGUCUUUCAAAGCCAGUGUUGCACAACCAAGCAUCCAGACGUUGUAAUUCACGCUGUAGAGCAUCCUACCCACUGAAAUGAAUGGGAACUCUAAUGAAACUAAGAUGUAAGGAUGGCAACAUCUACCUUAGAGUAAAAAUGGAAAUGCCAACUAUGCUAUUAAAAAAGGCCAUAAUAUACAUGAGAGAAGAACCAUGAGUCCUACCAUUAUGGUAUCUAUUAAUCUUAAACUUUACAGCAUUAAAAUAUGGGAAGUUUUUAUUUGUUUGAAACACAGACCGUCUUUUGAAAAAGAUAUGAGUAGAAAACAAACAGGUUGUAGUACACAUUCUCCUUUUCAUCUUUGUCCAGAACUCCCACUGUUUUCUGUGCAGGAAAAACCAAUACAAUAUGGUCCAAUGUCUGUAAAUGAUAAAGCAAAAAGCAUUCCAUUAAUUUAUUUCUGAUUUAGUCUGGGUUAUAUUGUUUCAUACAUGUUUGAGACUCUUCAAGUUGCUUGGUUUAUGCAUGCAGCACGUAUAAAUAUUAACACUUGGAUAUUGCAGUAUUGCUUGAGCCUCUUGAACAAUUUUUAAAAAAUAAUUUCUAUACUGAAAAAAGCUUCUUACAAUUAACUAUGACAAGGUGUAGAAUAUAGUUCUUAUAAAAAUCUAGUUGUGUUGAUAAACAGAAAUUGCAUAAAUACUGCGACACUAAAGUUCAACAGCCAACUUGUUAGAUGAAGAAAUGCCCUCAAAUAGGGAGCUGUACUCUGAUUCCUGCAGCCAUUCUUAGCUUUGUCAGCAUGACAGCUAGAAUAGAGUAAAUUUAACACCAGAAGAGCUAUGGUCAGUCCACCUUCAGCCUUGCCUACCUUCAGUGAAAAGGUUUGUACCUAAAGACUGCUGCAUUUACUGAGGUGUGGUAGUUUAAAACAUUCCUCCUAAAGCACACCAAAGUGCCAGCUUUCAAUUAUCAUGCAAGUUACCUUUGUGGAUAGUUUAUACUCUUUUUUUUUUUUUUCUGGGCAGGGAACCAGAACUACUAAAAUGCAGAUGUGUGGUUUUCUGCCACCUUUGAUAAGGAGACAGAAAUUCCUGGGAGAGUGUCAGUGUGGUUAGUUAGGACCUGUAACCUCUUCAACUGCUGGUACUCAGUAGAGGUGAUCUGCCUGACUGACUCCAAAAGCAAUAAUCCAUUGUUUGAACCGCCUUGUCUCUCUCCUGCACGGAGUUACCUCUUCUGUGGGACACCGAUCAAAUCCAGGUGAUGUUGCACUUGAAUAAAUGAGAAAUUUUUGUGAGGUCCAUUUUUCCUGUUCUGCUGGGAUGGCAUGAACUCACAGUGGGAAGUAGAGUCUCUUAAAUCAACAUUGAGAUUGAGGUCAUGAAUGUACCUUGGGUUACUUUCUCUUUGCUUUUACCAAAUGUUAUACAUGAUUACUUGGUAGAAAAUAAAUGAAGCAAAGAAAGAAAUGGGGAGAGAUAAGGCUGUUAGGUAAUCCAAUCAACUUUCCUGCUAGUACAGACUUACUUAGCUUGUUUAUUAGUAUGUUUCAAAUUAUUUUUUAAAUAACUAAAAGAAUUCCUCUGAAAAAUUUGCACGAGCUCUGCUCUUCACUGCCAGUAAGAUUUUCUGACAUUUGGUCUUUCCCCACCCUCUUUUCAUUUACUCCUACUUGUUCCCAUAUGUAGAAGCCCAAGUAUUUCCUCUCCAUCCUUAAGGUUUGCAUUACUUAAGUAUUUGCUGGCUGGAGACACGUCUCCAUGUACCUCUGCUUUAACAAAACUGGAUGUAUUAAGCUCUUUUAACCCUUCUCUAUAAAACCACUCUUCCAGAUAAUUCUUUCUGUUGCUCCUUAAAUUGCUUCAUUUGCCUCCAUGUUACGAUGGAUGACACAGAAACAAUGCACAUACUGGCACUGAGUCUGCUAGGGAAAAGUUGUCCUUUUGGAAAAGUUUCAAUAAGCUUGAGCUGCCAAAAUGACUUUGCAUCACAUCAGUGCUCUGCAUCACUUGGCUGUGUUUUUGAGCACCCUAAAACAGGGUUUACUACCCUGGAUCUGUGGUGUGUCUUUUACUUGCUGAUAUUGGACCUGUGUGCUGAAGGCAACCCUGCAUUGAGCACUAGUGGCUCAGGACUCCCCUGCUGUUUCAUUUUCUGUGCCAGCUCAAAGUCAUUGGAGGGCUUUGUUUCCAACAUUCGUAGCAUUGCAAAACUUUUGCAUGAAGAAAACAGAGGAGAUAUGAUAUAUUUGGAUUUUAAUAUUUCAGGAUUGUCUACAAGAUUUAUUUUCAGCAAACCCUUGUUACUUUUUACUCAGUGAAUAUUUUCAAGAUAAACAGGGGUAAAUUUGGGGGGUUUUAUUAUUUGUUUUACUUUGAUUUUCUGUUUGCUUAACCACUCAUCAUCAUAUGCUUUUUGUUAACCCAGUAGGAAAAAAUAUCCUCAAUUUCUGUAAGAAUUUUACAUUUUAGGAAUUAAAUGUAACAAUCCAGAAGUUACUUUCUCAGAGAAAGGGAUGAUGACUUUUGAUUGGGCUUGUAAUUUAGGAUACACCUUUGCCUGCUUUCAGCUUUGCCAUGUGGUUUACCAGUUCCCUCUAAUAAAAGCAAGGAUGCAGUAUUUUGCUGGCAAUAGUGCUAUCUGUAGUUUCACUACUGUGAGCUGCAGUGUGAACUUCUGCUGUGGAUACAUGCCCGGAAAGAUGCAUGAAAUAGGUACUGGCCUCAUUCAUUUGACCGUCACUUCAGGUUUCCCUACAUCAGUGUCAUGCAAUUGCCAUAUAAUUGUCCCUCUCUCCUACUGUGAUCCUGGCACCAGGCAGAGUGGACUGAUCUGAUCUUGGGUGACCUAAUUAGUUGUGCUCAGCACACAGGUUUGAUAUAUGAAAGGUGAAACCAUGGAGGAGGCUGGCUAGAAAUGGGCGUUGUGUGGCUGUAGUAUAGUGCUAUGAGGUGAAUGACAGACCAGUGUUACUUGACCUAAUGCAUUUGCAGUAUCCUUAUGCCCUGUCCCAUUCAGUGUUGUGCACUGGGUCAUAGAGAACUUGGGGGAUAGGACACAAAGGUCUCAAUCCCACCACAACCACCAGGUUAGCUUUGUGCGUAAGAGUACUGCCAGUGAAGGGAACUGCUCCUGUUCGCCCAUAUGUUGUUUAGAUUCCUUGCUAGUAUGCUCCAGACUUUCCAGAUUCAUUCCCCGAGGGUGCAGCAAUUCAGCCCUAUUUUGCUGUCAGCACAGUAUUACUGCCUCCUCCAGUGUUUGGCAACCUGGCAGUUUCUGGUGUAAUGGAUAGAUAUUUUGGUGUGACAGCAAGGUGUGUGAUAUUUAUUCUACCCAUACUCCACACUGAUUCAGCAAAACUGGAACUUCCUAACACGGCGCUUCUCUCAACCAUAGUCUGGUAGAAAUCCAAGACUGCUGACGUGGUAUAGUGUGGUAUGGUAUACCCAAAGAAUCAUGCUGGGUAUCUGUAUAUCUGCUCAUUUUGUGGUAAAUCCCAUGUGUUAAAUUUUCUGCUUUUAGAGGAGGCAUCUCAUGCUGAAGCAUCCAUGACUGCAGAAUGAAUCCACUGAUUGAUUAGAAAGACAGAGAAAGGAGGAAGAAAUAGAAAAGGAAUGGGCCUGAACAAAGAAUAGAUGAACCAAUACCUUGUUCUGCCCAAAGAUACACAGAACUGUAUCCUUAUGUUCCUAAAGGUUUUCUGAGUGUUGAAACUUCAUUGAAAACCUGUUCUUUCAGUUAAAUGGGAUUCUACCACAAAAUGGUGAUAAACUCAGCUAUGUGUAUCUUUUCUGAUGAGAACAUCCAACUGCAUUGCAAUGAUGUGCCAGUGCCAAAGUGUUUCUGUGUGUAGGUGAAAAGAUGUUAAUUAAUACUCAGACUGGUGAGGUGCAACUGAUUUUCAUGGCAAUUCUAAAAUCAUCAGUAUGCUUGAUUGUUUAUCCAGUUGUCUCCAUGCCGAUUCAGAAGCUCAGCCACAGACACCUCCAUCUGAAAUUCUUGGCCAGAGUUUAUUCAGUCCCAGAUUACCGCCAGUGCAUGUGGAACCUAUGUCAUAAGGAGGCAUUUUUUAUGAGGUGCUGUUAAUUUCAAUGCACAAGCUGAACAGAACAAUAGAGGAAGCACGCAAAGGGGGCACACAUCAGCCACUGUGGUUUCUGGUUCAUGCCUGGGCCCCUGAUCCUCAAAGAAGGAGACCAAUGUCAGAGACAUCUGCACAUGGAGAUCAACUUGCAGGAUGAGGCAGGGUGAAAUUCUGGUGGUAGAAUUUGAUUAAUUGCCUUACGAUUUGAAAACAGUUCCAUCUGUUUCUUCCUGCUUUCUGUGCAUGUGGUGUGUCUUCUCUGUCUUUAAAAUCUCUCUUCUGGAAGAGUUUGAGGAGUUUGAUGAUUAGCUUCUUCUCAUUGCCCUUCAGACAGCUCUAGAUAUUUUCUCCAUCUUAACUCAGUUAUAUGCUCUAUGAUAUGAAGUAUGAGUAAGGGGAUGUCUGGAUUUUCCUGUCCUUUCAGGUAGCCUAUGUUAACAUUAGUACUGUCAUUCUGUGUACAGCUUCUCGGAUAUGCACUUCUCUUUUGCUCUUUGGUUUUCUCUUUCAUUUCUAUUUCUAGGUUGGAUUGUAUAAAUGAUGGCUCUUCACUGUUGUGACUUCCCCUUUGCUGCUGUGGGUUAAGCGUCUCUUUCAGUUCUGCAUGUAAAAGAGAAAAAAAAAAGAUGAGACCAAAGGCUCUUAUGGUGCAGCUUUGUAGGUUUAGAAAGAUCUUCCCUGGUAUUUUAUUGCUGUGGACUGAUUGACAUCACUUUAGCAUGUCUCCAAGUGCCUAUUAGCUCAUCUCUCACACUGAGAAGUAAAGGCUCCCAAGAAGCACUACAGAGAAAUUUAUCGGUGAGGGUUAGCCCCAGUAUAGACUGUACUGGUAUGAUCAUUCAAGGCUGUAUUCCCUCAGCUUCCAUGUUUGCUCGUGAUCGCUUCAUUUUCUUUUAAAAUUUGCUGUGCAGUAUUUUUUUGUGCUAUAAGGCUCUGGGGGAAACAGAGAAGAUGAGGUACAGAGCUCGUAAGUGUUGUCUCCUCUCUUUUGCUCUUCAGAGGAGGUACCAGAUCUGUCAGGGCAGAAAAAAAAGAGAAGUGGCACCAGCUGAGCAGGACAGGAGUAACACAACUCCUGCCAGAUGCUUAAGUAACAGCAUGGGGCUGAGCAGUUCUGCAAAUGGGAUAUAGCCAGUACUUUAGGAAUUUGCUGCAGUUCCCAGUGCCAGCUCAUUCUAACUGGGCUAGCAUGUUGUACUGUCCUGUAAAAUUUUAUCUAGUGUCUAUCAAAUCCCAGUUUGCAUAAGUUGAAAUAUGGCUGAGUGUGAGAUAUCGCAGAUCUUUUAUUAUACACUAGAGUACAAAAAGAUUCAAAAGAUGAACUGCUGCCUUGGAUGAGGAGCUGUAGUAGGUUGGAGGGCUAAGGAAGCCUGAGUUGAGGCUCCUGAGUAACUAGCUGAUUUUCUUGAAGAAGUUUGUUUUUAAUAAGAACCUGCUGCUCUCCUUCCAGGUACUGCUUUCCCAUCAGCAACACAAGAGCUGUCAGCGUUGCCUGUCCAAACUGAGGUAUAGAUGUCUGGGCACACAUCAGGGUGGAGGUGGAAUUUUGUUAACAGAGAGAACUAAGAACCCAGAGAACACAGAGCAUUUGGGAACUGAUGCCCUCUCUGGAAUAUUAAAAGACUUUCUACAUACCUCAGGGGUUAUGUCUAGAUGGAUGAGUGUGGAGAGUUGCUUGCCUGCUCUUAUACUUUGAGCUACCAGGCUGCAGGCCAGCUCUGAUAUGAAAACUGAAACCACAGCAUUGUGACACUGUGCUUGUAUUUACCAUAACUGUUCUCUCUGCAGGACUUAUCAACACAGCUCUGAGCUUUUGGUAAGUGCAGUUACCUGAUACACAGACCAGUCUGGAUAACAUCCAUCUGGCUCAGACUGUAAGCAGCUGCAUGCACCACCCUGCACGGGCACUUUUCGUGAGUUGCAGUAGUCAGCUCCCACACAGCUACUGCAGCAGUCGUACACAGAUACAGUGAGUUGCUAGUCACUGUGCAGUGGAAGCAAACUGUUCCUGUGACAACAACACUCUUACCAUAUAAUUUCAUGUUUCAUAGUAUAUAAUCCCUUUGAAUUGUAGAAAGUAAAAUGUAAAAAUGACAAUAUAUUGAAACCAAAUGAAAAAAAAUUAAAACCAGAGCAGCUCUAAACUGACAUAUUUAAAAUUACUUUGAAAUGAAAUUAAGCUGUUCAAUAACAAAUGGGUUUCUUGUGGCUCCAAAACAAACAGUAAGGAAUGAAAUACAGACUUAGAUGUGCAUAAAUGAUUUAGGUGGCGAAUGGGGAGGAGAUGGUCAUAGAGGGCUGAGCUGAAGAAAGUACAUUUGCAAGUUCCUGAAAAACCCAUGUAGGAGAGAGUUCGACAGAAAAACUGAAUACUAUGACUCAGCUUGAUCCAGAUAAGGUUUUCAUAGGGGAAUAAAAGGCAAAACCUUUGAUCUUGGUUGCUGUGAUAGAAAAUUGAGUAAUAAAUAAUGGUUCUGUUAAUGUCUUAAUCAUAGCUUAUACAUAAUUUUCUCUUGCCAACAUUCCUUUGCUUCUAGUUGUACUUUGACACAGCAUGAUUGCAUGAGUGUCCCAAGUAAACUCAGUAGCUCUUCCAGGAGGAGGCCUGACUCCUUGUAGCCCACCAAAGCUGGAUGUGUCAGAAGAAAGGGACUGGAUGAAAAGCAGCCAAGGGGACUUUCUGGCUGGGGAUUGUGUAGCUAGCCAUCAGCCUGCUUUCAUGGAAACACUAAUAAGAGAAACAUCCCCAGGGAACCAUGUGGGCAAAUGACACCAGAUGGAUCUAGGGAGUUCAGCUUCUUCCUUAAGCAACAUCUGCUGGUAUUGGAAGUAUCCAGAAAGCCACACCACACUUAAAAAAUAAACAAAACAAAAAACAAUCUGCAACAGGAAGAACAACCCAAGCUACAAGACACUUCCACAAAUACUAUAUAAAACCAAUAAGCAGCUAAAUGCUGUAUGAUGCUGAAGAAUUUAUAUAUGCCUGUUUCAGUUCUGCAAUGUGUGCCAUUCCUAUGAAUCCAGGCAUGAAGAGCAAAAACACCUGUAUUUUAAAAAUGCUAAAAGAAAUUACUUAAAUACAGCUAUUGGAAGUGGAACAAAGGAUGCCAGCUUCAACAGGGAAUCGACUUUUCUGGGUGUUCACAAAGUUGUGCUUUCUGCUCGUCUUACUUUGUUGAUUUUCUGUAUCUCCAUGGUCCCAUCACUUUUUGUGCUUGACUGCUGAACAGCUUUUGGUCAUGGGCUUCUUUUGACUAAACAGACACAGCUGAAGUUUUCAUGCUGCCUGAAUUCUUUAACUGGAAAAGACUCAAGACAAAUAUGAGAGGCCACCAGAUUCCUUCCUGUCAUCUGUAAGUAAUUUUCAAAGACUACAGAGAAUGUUGUAGACAAGUCAAGUUUUCAGUAAUCUCAGAAGGAGAGAGGGAAUAUCCUAAAGUAAAUACCAAGUAGUAUAUGUUGUCUGUCCUGGGAGGCCAACAUGCCAAUCUAACUGAAAAUAUGCUCUUCAUUAGAAAACUGCUUGCAGCUUUAAUCAGCUUUAGCUGAUUUUUUUUCAGAGUAACAUAUUUACCAAGGUGCAGGGCAACCUUGAGUAUAAUGUGACCUCUCACUCUGUUUUAGUAGGAAAAAAAAUCAAAUAUCAUUUUGUGCUGAAAAUUCCCUUAAUUAUCAUUGCAACACACAACAGACCUACUUCUGACAAGCCAUCCCUAAUGCCUUAUGGAGUUAGGAGAAUUAAUGUGAAACAGGAAGUAUGCUGAUUGUAAGGGCUGGGCUUGUUCUCAGACAAGACAGUCGGUGGUUCCAUGUGAAGUCAAGAAAAAAUCGGCAAAUAAAAGUUGUACCUCUUUAAAUCUUGAAGGGUAUUUACAGGAGAAUUUCUGGAGAGGAGUGUACAGAAAUGACAGUAAAGACUUCUUCAGUAAAGAGCAUGUGUUUUUGUGCCUGUGUUACAUGGAUAAUUACAUGAAUGCUACCUGUAGGCAAAAAUGUAAUUUAUGGGUUUCUACAACAUAACCCAUACAUUGGUGGAAAUAAUUAUAUUAGUAAUUAAAGGUAUACCUUACACAUGGAUUCUAGGAUCAACAACUGUGGGAAACCACAGCAGGUUCAGUAUUGGGUUUGGUGACGAGAUUGUGAAAGAAGGAAUCCUGAGCUGCAGAUACUCCUUGUUAGCAGCAGUGCCUUCAGAUGGCAUUUCAGGAUGUUGUUAUGAGCAGUACUACUCCUAGAGAUCCUUUUGAAACAUUUUAUAAAGUCACAAAAUAAUUACAUUUUUGUCCAACCUUAUUCAGAAAAUAGGUACCUGAAGACAGUCAUGACUUUUCUAUAUGCAGCCAGCCAGAUCCCAUGCAGAAGAGCUGUCUUCUGUUUCUGAGCACUGCAUUUCUCUCUGGGAAACUUGUGAAUGAAACAGUGAGACUGAUUUUGUGGUGUAACAGCUCAAGUGGAAAAAGUGCACAUGAAUUCCAGAGGUUGGCUAAAAGUCUUAAACAUGAUACAUUCAUCCCAAACUCUAUGUAGACUGGAUAUUUCAGCACUGGAUUCUGUUAUGAAAAUUACUUCAUUUCAUUUAGUUGAUUUAUGAUUUAGUGUACAAUUUCUUUGGGAAUCAGAUUAAUGCUGAUAAAAGUCCAAAUGUCCAAGUUUUCAAGGAGAAGUUCUCCCUUUUUCCCCCACCCCUGGUUCCAAAAUCUAGAAGAAAAGCCCCCAGAUCAUUAAAGGUUUGUAGAAUCAUGGAAUUAUUAAGGUUGGGAAAGACUUCUAAGAUCAUCAGGUCUAAUCAUAUUUAGCUAGCAACAAUACUACUGUAUGUAAUAACAGGUCUGAACAGAAAGAAUACUCAGUUUUUAAAAAUUUUGCAGUUCUUGUGACAGAUCCCAACUUUCUGGAAAAGUCUGAAGACAUCCUUCAGAUGUAUGUUCCUGAUUACACUCAUCAUCAUGUGAUUGCCUGGAUUUAGCUGUAGCUUUCAGACUUUCAGCUUACAAGAAGAUGUUUGGGGGCCAUUCCCAAACAUUUCUGUUCACUCAUCCAAGCAGGACAUAAGCUGUCCUCUAAAAAUAGGGAAGCCAAUUUAAAAUUAUUUUGUUUGGACCUGUAUCCCGACAUUGCACAUAAUUAAAGCACCCAGAGCCACAUGAAAACACAGCUUCGAACCACAGGAGAAAAGUCAUGGCUCAAGGAUGUAUUACACAUACAUGAGGACUACACGGAUGACUUGACAGCUUACAGAUGCUGGGGAGGAAUACAUUUCAGGAAGGCCAGGGCUGUAGAUCAUUGCCUGGCAUCCCUGCAGCUUUGUAAGCUGUUCUCUCCGGGAUCCGGUUUCAGAAAGGAAUGCCGUCACGGGAGAUUUUACCCGAUGACUAAAAUUGCUGACUUUCCAGCACAAUGUUUAACCUCCCAUUCCAGGCUCCACGCUUGCUUUAUUUACUAAUCCAGCCUGUAGCUGUUACAUGGAGGAAGAAUGGGGAUAAAUACUAUGCCUUGGGAGCAUAUGUGUGAGUGGAGAAAGUACCACUCAUCAUCGCAGCACUGUAGUUGUAGAGGCCCAAAGAACUUCAUUUUAGUCACAGCAUGGAUUGUGAUUUGGGUUGUCACAGUAAUCUCUCCUACAAAACAGUGGGAAGAUCCCUCAUUUGCAGUCAGGGAGCUAUUACAAGGAGAGAGCGUGAAAUGGAAUAGGAGUUCUCUCUCAGCUUUGAUCCCAGAAGAAAAAUUACCUAUAGAAUAGAGCAUCCCAGGCUGCAGUAUAUCUUCUGUUAUGUUCUCUGUGCUGCGAGGGAGGAUCUGGACAGGGUCCACUGCAAAGGCAACAGCUGCAGGGAGGUUUUAUGACCACAUGGUUUUACUAGACGUGGCUUUUUGGUAUCAGGAGAUUGAUUUGGGACAACUUCUACAAAGUAUAUCUUUUGCUGUAUUUCAACAAACCACUAGCCAAGGGUAAAACCUUUAACUGCUUGGAAAGAUCAAUAAUACUUAAAGGAUAACAGUUUCUUAAUGUCACAGAAAUACCAAGUUUCUUAUUACCUGUUCUUUUAUAGCAGCAAAAAUAUAUCUCAAAAUACAAAAGUUCAAAAUAGGAAACCACGUAAGCAUUGCUAACUUGUGCUGUGGACUUGGUUCAGUCGCUGUCAGUGUUCACAUGUUCUUUAUGAGUGACAAGGUUUUAUCUUGAAUCCCAGCUGAGUCAUGGGAUUUUAUGAGAUUAUUCCCUCUUGUCCUUCCCCUCCUGUCAAAGAAUGAUGUUGGCAGCCAUCGUGGAAGAAUUUGAGACUGUAGGCUUCCUGAAGCCUAAAAAAGAGGAAGCAAACAAACCCACCUUUAAUGUGUAUAUACACACAGAGGCAUACACCCUUACACCCACAGGUGCAUGUGUAGACAGUGUGUAUGUGUCUCUGUCUGUGUGGAGGGAGGGCAGGAGAGAGAGAGAGAAACAUUUCAUGAUCUGUGUGAAGGCAAGGAUUUCAGGUUUUGUAAGGCAGUCUCUGGCAAUGCCAACCCUCUAAAAAAAACAUUAAUGAAAGUUUGGAGGUACAUAGCCAGUUUGGAGAAGACUCAGUGUGUUGCCAGUCUAGGCCCUUUAGGAGUUGGAACACUUAUGGCUGAAUCUUGCAAGCAUUUGAUUCACUUGAGCUUCUUUGCACAUGGAUAGAGGUGAUAGUAGACAGAGGGAGCUACCCAUGAAGUAGCACAAAAGCUUCAUCUUCCAGCAAGAGAUUCCAGCACCCUGCCACUGCACUUAGUUUUCUCACUCGUGGUGGUAAAGUUUGCAUCAUACUUUGUGAGGUCAGAUGCUAAGGGCCCAAAAAUUACAUUCCUCCUCAUGAGUAAGCUUUAGCAUGAUCUGGAAUGACUCAUGAGGUUAAAGGGUUGUAAGGCCAAGCCAUUUAUGAAAAUACUCUUUUAAAUAUUGUCUGGGUUUUCUGAGAAGGAAAUUUUGUAUGAAAAGCAUGAAAAAAAUGCAUCCAGUAGCUAUUAAAUAUUUAAACAUUUUUCAAGAUUUGUAAUUCUAUAUGCUGUAGACUCUCUUAGUUGUUUCUUAUUUUUUCUAUAUGUCAAAAAAAUUUUAAAACAAAAAAAAUAUAUAAAUGCCAGCAAAUAUUCCUACUAUCCAAUAUAUUCAGACUUAAUUAACUUGUCAGGCUUGGUUUUUACCAAGCCCUUUCUGUGGCUAUGACAAAUUAUAUCUCCAGGUCUGAUUAUUCAUUAAAUGUCUACUGUGAAUUUCAGGCUCCCUAAUGCUUAAAAUACAGUGCAGGUAUAAUGGGUUUAAAAAUUAAAGUAUGUUUCUUAAUUUUAUUUAAUUUCAAUUGCAGAAUUUAAAUUCUAAGGAUGCUGCAGAACACAUCAAUUAACUAUACUGAGCUAAUUAACAAUUAUAAUAAUUUUUUUUUACUGCAGCACAUAUAUUUUCAGACCUGAAAGAGAUGACUGGAUGGUUUAUUACUGAGAUUAGCUUAAAAGCUUUGUUUUUAUUUCAGUGGUGGGCACAUUUUAAUCCACUUUUGGGGUAGAUAAUGAAUGACUGAAUCUCAUUGCAUUUAUUGGAAAGAUUCAAUGAUGAAAUUAAACAUUAUUUUAGAGUAUUGUUUCCCAUGGUUUCUUGAGUCACAUAAUAAGGUCUUGGGAUGAGCAUCUCACUGAUGUACUAUAGUAAACUAUAAAAACUGUGUUUGGGGAGCAGGAUAGGUGAGGUUCUUAGUAGCUGAUGCUCAGAAAAUCCUGAGCCUGGCCCAGUGCACACCGAUGGCUGCGAGGAAAUUCCUUGAGAUUCCAACAGAUUCUGGCUUAGAUGGGUUAGAGCUGUACGUCUGUUUCUCUGGAGAAAGUUAUUUUAUGGUUUUUGGUUUUUGUUAUGAAGAUGACAUAUCACAUAUUUAUUUAUAAAUAAUGAACUAUUGUACCAUAUGGUUGACUUUAUUUUCUCCAUUCAAGGCUAUAAGCGAACCAUAAGCACAGACUUGGGUAAAAUUUGCAUGAGAAAUUAUUUGUAGCAUGCAGCCAAGCACCACUUCAUUAUGCUCACAGGAAACCCCCUCCCUUCUCAACAAAACAGAAAUUUAAAAAUAGGACUGUGUAUGCAGGGCCUGAUGUUACCACUGCUGCCUUCAGCUGCACUCCUAUAAUUUAUGACAGUUGUGUAGUUCGCGCAGAUCUUCACAGGCUGAGAAUACACAGAAAGAAAUGUGAUGUUUAUGAAAGUGCCAUUAGAGUAACGAGCAAGAAGGAGAAUGAGCAUGAAAAACAAGUUUUAAGGAUAACACAAGCUUACCAGUGUUGUCCUGGUAAAUCUUUUGAGCUGGAAAGGAAAACACCUGGACAAGUUGCCACAGAUUGCUUCUCAUUCACAAGUAGCUUCAAAAUCCAAAGGAAAUACUUUUCCAAGAGAUUU